rfam:Paraglaciecola sp. S66 Contig11, whole genome shotgun sequence.
GGUUAAGUGACUAAGCGUAUACGGUGGAUGCCUAGGCAGUUAGAGGCGAUGAAGGACGUGUAAGUCUGCGAAAAGCUGUGGGGAGCCGACAAAAUGCUUUGAUCCACAGAUAUCCGAAUGGGGGAACCCAAUCCUUAGGGAUUAUCAUUAACUGAAUACAUAGGUUAAUGAAGCUAACGAGGGGAACUGAAACAUCUAAGUACCCUUAGGAAAAGAAAUCAAUUGAGAUUCCCCUAGUAGCGGCGAGCGAACGGGGAACAGCCGAGUGUUUAUGGGUUAGCAGAACAAGCUGGAAAGCUUGACGAUACAGGGUGAUAGUCCCGUAUGUGAAGAACCAUAGAUGCCAUAUUAAGUAGGUCGGGACACGUGUUAUCUUGACUGAAGAUGGGGGGACCAUCCUCCAAGGCUAAAUACUCCUAACUGACCGAUAGUGAACCAGUACCGUGAGGGAAAGGCGAAAAGAACCCCAGUGAGGGGAGUGAAAUAGAACCUGAAACCGUAUACGUACAAGCAGUAGGAGCAGACUUGUUCUGUGACUGCGUACCUUUUGUAUAAUGGGUCAGCGACUUAUAUUUAGUAGCAAGGUUAACCGAAUAGGGGAGCCGUAGCGAAAGCGAGUGUUAACUGCGCGUUGAGUUGCUAGGUAUAGACCCGAAACCCGGUGAUCUAGCCAUGGGCAGGUUGAAGGUUGAGUAACAUCAACUGGAGGACCGAACCGACUAAUGUUGAAAAAUUAGCGGAUGACUUGUGGCUGGGGGUGAAAGGCCAAUCAAACCGGGAGAUAGCUGGUUCUCCCCGAAAGCUAUUUAGGUAGCGCCUCGGACGAAUACCACAGGGGGUAGAGCACUGUUAAGGCUAGGGGGUCAUCCCGACUUACCAACCCUUUGCAAACUCCGAAUACCUGUGAGUACUAUCCGGGAGACACACGGCGGGUGCUAACGUCCGUCGUGAAGAGGGAAACAACCCAGACCGCCAGCUAAGGUCCCAAAGUCAUAGUUAAGUGGGAAACGAUGUGGGAAGGCUAAGACAGCUAGGAGGUUGGCUUAGAAGCAGCCACCCUUUAAAGAAAGCGUAAUAGCUCACUAGUCGAGUCGGCCUGCGCGGAAGAUGUAACGGGGCUAAACUAUGCACCGAAGCUGCGGAUUCAUCUUAGGAUGAGUGGUAGGGGAGCGUUGUGUAAGUGGCUGAAGGUGAACCGAGAGGUUUGCUGGACAUAUCACAAGUGCGAAUGCUGACAUGAGUAACGAUAAUGGGGGUGAAAAACCCCCACGCCGGAAGACCAAGGUUUCCUGUCCCAUGCUAAUCAGGGCAGGGUAAGUCGGCCCCUAAGGCGAGGCAGAAAUGCGUAGUCGAUGGGAAACAGAUUAAUAUUUCUGUACUUAUAUAUUCAGUGAUGGGGGGACGGAGAAAGUUAUGCAAGCCUGGCGUUGGUUGUCCAGGUGAAAAUGCGUAGGCUGGCGACUUAGGUAAAUCCGGGUUGCUAAGGCCGAGACAUGAGACGAGUCACUACGGUGACGAAGUUGCAAAUACUCUGCUUCCAGGAAAAGCCUCUAAACUUAUGAAUAUAUGAACCGUACCCCAAACCGACACAGGUGGUCAGGUAGAGAAUACUAAGGCGCUUGAGAGAACUCGGGUGAAGGAACUCGGCAAAAUCGUACCGUAACUUCGGGAGAAGGUACGCCGCUUAUUGUGAUGGACUUUACGUCCUAAGCGAUGGGCGGCCGCAGUGAAAAGGUGGCUGGAACUGUUUAUUAAAAACACAGCACUGUGCUAAAUCGAAAGAUGACGUAUACGGUGUGACGCCUGCCCGGUGCCGGAAGGUUAAUUGAUGGGGUUAGCGCAAGCGAAGCUCUUGAUCGAAGCCCCGGUAAACGGCGGCCGUAACUAUAACGGUCCUAAGGUAGCGAAAUUCCUUGUCGGGUAAGUUCCGACCUGCACGAAUGGCGUAAUCAUGGCCACGCUGUCUCCACCCGAGACUCAGUGAAAUUGAAAUCGCAGUGAAGAUGCUGUGUACCCGCACCUAGACGGAAAGACCCCGUGAACCUUUACUAUAGCUUGGCACUGAACAUUGACCCUACAUGUGUAGGAUAGGUGGGAGACAUUGAAGAUGAGACGCCAGUCUUGUUGGAGUCGUCCUUGAAAUACCACCCUUGUAGGUUUGAUGUUCUAACAUUGGUCCCUUAUCGGGAUUGUGGACAGUGUCUGGUGGGUAGUUUGACUGGGGCGGUCUCCUCCCAAAGCGUAACGGAGGAGCACGAAGGUUGGCUAAUCCUGGUCGGACAUCAGGAGGUUAGUGCAAUGGCAUAAGCCAGCUUAACUGCGAGACAGACACGUCGAGCAGGUACGAAAGUAGGUCAUAGUGAUCCGGUGGUUCUGAAUGGAAGGGCCAUCGCUCAACGGAUAAAAGGUACUCCGGGGAUAACAGGCUGAUACCGCCCAAGAGUUCAUAUCGACGGCGGUGUUUGGCACCUCGAUGUCGGCUCAUCACAUCCUGGGGCUGAAGUCGGUCCCAAGGGUAUGGCUGUUCGCCAUUUAAAGUGGUACGCGAGCUGGGUUUAGAACGUCGUGAGACAGUUCGGUCCCUAUCUGGUGUGGGCGUUGGAUGAUUGAGGGGAGCUGCUCCUAGUACGAGAGGACCGGAGUGGACGAACCGCUGGUGUUCGGGUUGUCAUGCCAAUGGCAUUGCCCGGUAGCUACGUUCGGAAUCGAUAACCGCUGAAAGCAUCUAAGCGGGAAGCGAGCCCCAAGAUGAGUCAUCCCUGGCAAUUUAAUUGUCCUAAAGGGUUGUUGAAGACUACGACGUUGAUAGGCAGGGUGUGGAAGUGUCGUAAGGCAUUAAGCUAACCUGUACUAAUUGCCCGUGAGACUUAACCAU